AUUGAACGCUGGCGGCAGGCCUAACACAUGCAAGUCGAGCGAGCGGCGGACGGGUGAGUAAUGUCUGGGAAACUGCCUGAUGGGGGGGGAUAACUACUGGAAACGGUAGCUAAUACCGCAUACCAUCAGAUGUGCCCAGAUGGGAUUAGCUAGUAGGUGGGGUAAUGGCUCACCUAGGCGACGAUCCCUAGCUGGUGUGAGAGGAUGAACAGCUACACAGGAACUGGGACACGGUCCAGACUUCUACGGGGGGCAGCAGUGGGGAAUAUUGCACAAUGGGCGCAAGCCUGAUGCAGCCACGCCGCGUGUGUGAAGAAGGCGUUCGGGUUGUAAAGCACUUGCAGCGGGGAGGCGUUAACCGCAGAAGAAGCACCGGCUAACUCUGUGCCAGCAGCCGCGGUAAUUC
rnacentral:rRNA from 1 species